GACGAAGGGGGCUAGCGUUGCUCGGAAUCACUGGGCGUAAAGCGCACGUAGGCGGCUUUCUAAGUCAGGGGUGAAAUCCUGGAGCUCAACUCCGGAACUGCCUUUAAGACUGCAUCGCUUGAAUCCAGGAGAGGUGAGUGGAAUUCCGAGUGUAGAGGUGAAAUUCGUAGAUAUUCGGAAGAACACCAGUGGCGAAGGCGGCUCACUGGACUGGUAUUGA
rnacentral:rRNA from 1 species